rnacentral:rRNA from 1 species
UACGUAGGGUGCAAGCGUUGUCCGGAAUUAUUGGGCGUAAAGAGCUCGUAGGCGGUCUGUUGCGUCGGCUGUGAAAACCCGCGGCUUAACUGCGGGCUUGCAGUUGAUACGGGCAGGCUAGAGUUCGGUAGGGGAGACUGGAAUUCCUGGUGUAGCGGUGAAAUGCGCAGAUAUCAGGAGGAACACCGGUGGCGAAGGCGGGUCUCUGGGCCGAUACUGACGCUGAGGAGCGAAAGCGUGGGGAGCGAACAGG